GACGAACGCUGGCGGCGUGCCUAACACAUGCAAGUCGAACGGAAAGGCCCUGCUUUUGUGCGGUGGUCGAGUGGCGAAGGGGUGAGUAACACGUGAGUAACCUGUCCCUGUCUUAGGGAGAACUUCAGGAAACAGGGGCUAAUACCGGGUAGGAGCUCUUGCUGCAUGGUGGGGGUUGGUAAGUUUCGGCGGUUGGGGAUGGAAUCGCGGCUUAUGAGCUUGAUGGUGGGGUAGUGGCUUACCAAGGUUAUGAGUGGUAGCAUGCCUGAGAGGUUGACCGGCCACAUUAGGCCUGAGAUACGGCCCAGACGCGUACGGGACGCAACGGUGGAGAGUAUUACACAAUGGGCGGAAGCCAGAUGCAACAGCGCCGCGUGCGGGAAGACGGGCUUCGGGUUGUGAACCAAUGUCGCCUGAGACGAGGCGUGAGUGACGGUAACGGGUAAAGAAGCACCGGCUAACUACGUG
rnacentral:rRNA from 1 species